rnacentral:miRNA from 14 species
ACGAGCUAGACUACUAGGUGAA